rnacentral:rRNA from 1 species
CAGCAGCCGCGGGAAUACGGAGGGGGCUAGCGUUGUUCGGAAUUACUGGGCGUAAAGCGCACGUAGGCGGCUUUGUAAGUUAGAGGUGAAAGCCCGGAGCUCAACUCCGGAAUUGCCUUUAAGACUGCAGAGCUAGCAGGUGAGAGAGGUGAGUGGAAUUCCGAGUGUAGAGGUGAGAUUCGUAGAUAUUCGGAAGAACACCAGUGGCGAAGGCGGCUCACUGGCUCAUACUGGACGCUGAGGUGCGAAAGCGUGGGGAGCAAACAGGAUUAGAUACCCCAGUAGUCCCUGUCUUUAUACA